AUUGAACGCUGGCGGCAGGCCUAACACAUGCAAGUCGAACGAGUGGCGGACGGGGGAGUAAUGUCUGUGAAACUGCCUGAUGGAGGGGGAUAACUACUGGAAACGGUAGCUAAUACCGCAUACCAUCAGAUGUGCCCAGAUGGGAUUAGCUAGUUGGUUGGGGAACGGCUAACCAAGGAGACGAUCGCUAGCUGGUCUGAGUGGAUGACCAGCCACACUAGAACUGAGACACGGUCCAGACUCCUCCGGGAGGCAGCAGUGGUGAAUAGUGCACAAAGGGCGCAAGCCUGAUGCAGCCAUGCCGCGUGUAUGAAGAAGGCCUUCGGGUUGUAAAGUACUUUCAGCGGGGAGGCGUUACCCGCAGAAGAAGCACCGGCUAACUCCGUGCCAGCAGCCGCGGUAAUAC
rnacentral:rRNA from 1 species